rnacentral:rRNA from 1 species
CCUACGGGUGGCUGCAGUAGGGAAUCUUCCACAAUGGGCGAAAGCCUGAUGGAGCAACGCCGCGUGGGUGAAGAAGGGCUUCGGCUCGUAAAGCCCUGUUGGUAGAGAAGAAAGAGCGUGAGAGUAACUGUUCACGUUUCGACGGUAUCUACCCAGAAAGUCACGGCUAACUACGUGCCAGCAGCCGCGGUAAUACGUAGGUGGCAAGCGUUAUCCGGAUUUAUUGGGCGUAAAGGGAAUGCAGGCGGUCUAUUAAGUCUGAUGUGAAAGCCUUCGGCUUAACCGGAGUAGUGCAUUGGAAACUGGGGAACUUGAGUGCAGAAGAGGAGAGUGGAACUCCAUGUGUAGCGGUGAAAUGCGUAGAUAUAUGGAAGAACACCAGUGGCGAAAGCGGCUCUCUGGUCUGCAACUGACGCUGAGGUUCGAAAGCAUGGGUAGCGAACAGGAUUAGAUACCCCUGUGGUC